rnacentral:lncRNA from 1 species
GAGAAAUACUUCAAUAGUAACGUCAUAUCACUUGAACAUAAGUAGGAUUGAUAUGUCAGGGGUGCAAAGAAUUCUGUAAUGAUUUUAAUAUAGCCUAUUUUGUUGUCAAAUUUCUUUUCAUUUUCUUAAAAUAACAGAAACCUAACUGAUGGUAUAACCAUAUCUUUUUAUUCUAGGUCCCCUAAAAACCCAGGACAGAAGAUCAUUAAGAGGGUGAUUGCUCUUGAAGGAGACAUUAUAAGAACCAUGGGACACAAAAACCGGUAUGUCAAAGUUCCCCGUGGCCACAUCUGGGUUGAAGGUGAUCAUCAUGGACACAGUUUUGACAGCAAUUCUUUUGGGCCGGACAUGAUAAAAAUGACCUAUGCCAUCAUGAAGCUUUGCUUCUGGCCAAGUCAAGUAUUGUUCACAGCACUGGUGGUGCAGUUGUCGAGUCGUUUUUGGUGUGAAGAUUAUCAGCUUUGCCAAGGUAUAUAUAAGAGCUAAUUUAUCCUGCAUGCCUGUGUCCUAGAACUAGGAACAGAGUUGAGCAUCUGUUUUAUGACACAAUAAAUGACCAACUUGUGAGAAUAAAGAUUUUCCUAGGCAACCACCAUUCAAUUAAUUGUGGCUCCGGGGCUAACUCUGGUCCACGCCUGUUUCUGUGAAGAAGGAGGGGAGGGGAGGAGGUGUUCUGUUGGAUCACAGCUCAACUCUGAUUUUCAUAGUGAUUGCUUCUUUACCC